rnacentral:rRNA from 1 species
ACGGGAGGCAGCAGUGGGGAAUAUUGGGCAAUGGGCGAAAGCCUGACCCGGCAACGCCGCGUGAAGGAAGAGGAUUUUCGGAUUGUAAACUUCUUUUAUGAGGGACGAAGGACGUGACGGUACCUCAUGAAUAAGCCACGGCUAACUACGUGCCAGCAGCCGCGGUAAUACGUAGGUGGCGAGCGUUAUCCGGAUUUACUGGGUGUAAAGGGCGCGUAGGCGGGGUGACAAGUCAGAUGUGAAAUCUAUGGGCUCAACCCAUAAACUGCAUUUGAAACUGCCACUCUUGAGUGCUGGAGAGGUAGACGGAAUUCCUAGUGUAGCGGUGAAAUGCGUAGAUAUAAGGAAGAACACCAGUGGCGAAGGCGGUCUACUGGACAGUAACUGACGCUGAGGCGCGAAAGCGUGGGGAGCAAACAGGAUUAGAUACCCUGGUA